GUUGAGCAUUUAUCUCUGUGUCAACGAUAUGGUGGAAGCAUACAAUACACGUCAAUUACACGUAAAAUCUCAAUUCCGAACAAAAAAAAUCUCAAUUAAAGGAGGAUUACAAUAUUGAGAAAUAUUUUUUUAUAACUACUAAUGACUUGUUAGGAAGUGCUUUUAAAAUGACAAAGUGCUUUUAGAGAAAAUGUUUUUAGUUUGUUACAGGCAAGGAAGAAAAUAUCGGUAAUAUCGGAAAUAUCGGUAGUCCGAAAACACGGAAAUAUCGAUGGAAAUAUCGGUAAAAUAUCGAUAUCGAUAAAAAUUACAUGGAAACCACGGAAAUUGUAAGAAAAACUUGGAAAUUUUUAUUGAAACUUUGUAGAAUGUUUAUUUAGUCAAUUAUCUAUUAGUUUAUCACAAAAAAUUGGAUGGAAAUGCAUUGCAUGAUGGAUUUAACAUUAUCAAGUUGAUUAUAUAGCGAUCUGACAAACAUUGUGAAUGUAGAAAAUAUGUAGUAAUUAAUGAAAGAAGUCUAAACACACCAUAAUCAUUUAUAUAUAAUGAAUUAGUACAUUGUGAGUAUAUUCAUGAGGUGAGUCAGAUGGGGUCACUCAACCACAGAGGCACACACACACACAGACAUGCCAUCACACACGCACACAUAUCUCACACGCAUACGGCUCUCUCUCUCUCUCUCUCUCUCUCUCUCUCUCUCUCUCAUUCUCGAUCCUUCUCUCUUCUUCUCUGAGUCUGAGGCGUCGGACCUCUCUUCUCCCCCUUCUCCAUUCGACCCACACACACACAGAUCUCCCCCUUCUCGAUCCUUCUCUCUUCUUCUCUGAGACCCUCGAUCCUUCUCUCUUCUUCUCUGAGGCCUGACCUCUCUUUUCCCCUUUCUCCAUUCGACCCACACACACACAGAUCUCCCCAUUCUCCCACUCUCUCGAUCCUUCGCCCACUCUCUCGAUCCUUCGCUGCCGUUGAUCGUGGCUCUGGCAAAGUCGGACUUGGCUCAGUCGUCUCUGGUGGUGCGCCGCUGAGCAAGGAGUUGGCCCAGUCAUCGAUUUUUCAGGUGAGAUUCCAUUGAAACCCUAAGCCCUAAACUGACAUCACAUAUGUUGAAUCGUUGAUGCAUGCGUGAAAUUUGAAGCUUAUAUGUGAAAUUGAAGUUAAAAAUCAUGUUUUUGCAAGGUUUUUGGGACGAAAUCGGCUCGGGAAUAGGCACACCAUCUCCGGCGUUCUUCUCCGGCGUUCGAUAUCGGAGUCCGAUUGCAUCGUUCAACAAAAUAUCUCGAUAUCGAUAAUAUCGCGAUAUUUUGACGAAAACCACACGGAUACCUAUUUAAAUAUCCAUUCCCCGAAAAUCGAUAUUAUCGGCGAUAUUUCACCGAUAAUAUCGAUAUUUAAAUCCUUGGUUACAGGAAGCACUUCAAGUGUUUUUCAAGGAUUCACUUUCAUUUUUACAAAAAAUUGGUUCCAAAAACAUUUUCACCAAAAACACUUUCAGCCAUUUUAAAAGCACUUCCAAACAAACCCUAAAUUUAUAGUAGGAUUUUCCGAACCAAACAAAGUCAAGUGUGAUAUCGUUCUAGAAUACUGUAAUUGAAAUCGAAAAAGUAUAAAAGGAAAGGAAAUUAUUGUUAGCACUCCAAAAAUCUCAUUCUACACCUUUCAUAAGUGUAUUUUUCUUUCUAAAUAAAAAGUUUGGAUAUCAAAACUAGAUUUUUUGAGUGCCAAUAACAAGUAUCGAAAAGGAAUUGUGGUAGAAAUUACAAUAGGCUAUAAUUAUUAAAUAAAUAAUAAUAAAAAACACAAUCAUGAUUAAAUAAAGGUGUGUAGGAUUAAAAAAAAUGUAUUUUAUUAUUUCUCUAUUGAAAAUUGGGUCAAUUCCUGAAAUUGUCAUAAUAUGUGUCUCCUUCUUCAUGUUCAACAAACGAAAGGACUACUACGGUGUUACACCCACCCUUAAUUUAAAUUGUAUUUUCACUAAGUUUGAGAUUAUCUUUCUUUUAAAAUUGUUUUGGUCUUCAAGGGUGGGUCUAAUCUGACACGCCCUGAUUCUGAUAUUCCACGAACACCA
rnacentral:lncRNA from 1 species